rnacentral:lncRNA from 1 species
CAAAGUAUAAAAUUUAAUAUACAGUGACACAUGGGCCCACGAAUGACUAAAAGUAUCAAAAGAAAUGAACCUACAGUUUUUGGAUGUGGCAAGUCCAACUGUAGUCAUCGUCGAUAUCAGUUAUCUACAAUCUAUUCUGAGCCUGAAAUGGGUGGAAAAGAGGGUGGUGAGAUUAUAAAAUCCCAGUGAGUAAAGAAAUAUCAUUUAAAAUAUCUAAAGGCGAGUAAAAAGAGACUAUUAAAACAUUUCAUCAAACUGUAAUUUAUAAUCUUUUAACUUAUUUCAACCAAAUGAAAUCAAUUUAUUUAAAUCAAGUAAUCAGUAUGGCUUAUGAAUUUCUUAAAAGCUUGACUCAUGCCAAAAAUUAUUAUCAUACUCAGUUAUCUAGGAUACCUUGGCCGAGGGUUAUCCCAACUGAGUCCGCCAAGGCUAUUAGAAAGUCAUGUUUUAUUUUGAAAACAUUGUCGUUCCUUGGCGUUGGCCGAGUUCCCCCUCACGUGGUGGUUUGGCUUGAAGUGAACUCUAAAAGUUAUACCUCGGGAGUUACCUUACUCGCCUCUCCAACCGAGGUAAAAUAUAACGGGGUUUACCGUGCCCCUCUAAUAGGCUAGUCCACGGAAACCCGCCUACUGCAGUAAGCUAAUAAUUAUCCCACCAAUCAAUAAAAUUCAAUAACAUGAUAUGGCAAUUAUUGUAAUUCACAGCCUUUCAAGGCUAAAUACACAUUUCAUAUAUUUCAACACAAAUAUCAAUUCAGCCAUUCAUGCAAAUAUUGUCAUAAGCCAUUCGAUUCAAUUCAUAAAUUUUACAACAAAACAAGUGGUCUCCAAUUACUCUAUUUUUCAAAAUCAUUAUUCAAUUUCAAGACAAUUUAUAAAAUCUUUUCAUGUAAACACAUUUUGUUUGUAAAACACGAAGAUUUACCAUUUAAACUCAUUUUCAUAAAAUUUCACCAAAACCGAUUAAAAACAUACUUUAGAUAAUUAAAAUGAUAGUAAGGUUACUCACAGUACUAGGAGUUUGAUAUACUCCUAUUCUCGGUCUUUGGGCAUAAUCUCUUUACCCUUGUUAGAGGGCUCACCACCUAUACGUCAUACGUGACACGAAUUUUAAUAAAUUGUGUCAAUUUAUCAUAAACUAUUUCAAGCUCUAUAAAUCUAUAUGAAUGCAUGAAAUGUGAUGCAAAAUGUUCGAAUAGCCGUUUAAAUAUGGUAUUCGACCUAAUUCGCACUAUUCUCGGUGUAAUUAGCUAAAACCUCCAAUUUAACUCCAAAUCAAUUUCUUUCACUUUCUACACUCCAAUUAUACCUAAAUUACCUCAGUGACUGCAAAUGAGAUUCAAUUUAUCAAUCCCAGGUCAAUAAUCACAAAUGUCUAUACAUUAGGUAAAAAUUCAGAUUUUCACACCAAAAUUUCCCAUUUAAUUUCUAGCCUCACCAAACAUCAAAUAUCACCAAAAUUUCAUGAAAUAUCAUCAAUUUCAGCCACAAUAUCCUCCCUAGGAAAUUCGGCCAUUGAUGGUUGAUGAGGAAAAUGAAUUCUUUUCUUGUUGUUUUGUUUCUAAAUAUGCUAAGCUAACUAAAAACACUAACAUAACUUAAAAUCAAAUCAAUCUAACAUCUUUCUCUCUCCAUAUCCAUUUUAACCAGCCAUGAAUUCACCAUGAAAACAUGAAAUCUAACCAUGUAAUAUAAGGAGAAAUGCAUGGGAAAGGUAAAUCACAAGUCAAAAUCAAGAAAUUUUACCUUUAAUUGCUUAAUUCCUUGAAAUCCACCAAUUUUUCUUUGAAUUUUCCCACCUAGGGUUCUUGUUUUUCUUUUCUCCCUUUGUUUUUCCUUUGCUCUUG